rnacentral:rRNA from 1 species
CCUACGGGUGGCAGCAGUGGGGAAUAUUGGACAAUGGGCGAAAGCCUGAUCCAGCCAUGCCGCGUGUGUGAAGAAGGCCUUCGGGUUGUAAAGCACUUUCAGUGGGGAAGAAAGCCUUGGGGCUAAUACCCUCGAGGAAGGACAUCACCCACAGAAGAAGCACCGGCUAACUCCGUGCCAGCAGCCGCGGUAAUACGGAGGGUGCGAGCGUUAAUCGGAAUUACUGGGCGUAAAGCGCGCGUAGGCGGUCUGAUAAGCCGGUUGUGAAAGCCCCGGGCUCAACCUGGGAACGGCAUCCGGAACUGUCAGGCUAGAGUGCAGGAGAGGAAGGUAGAAUUCCCGGUGUAGCGGUGAAAUGCGUAGAGAUCGGGAGGAAUACCAGUGGCGAAGGCGGCCUUCUGGACUGACAUUGACGCUGAGGUGCGAAAGCGUGGGUAGCAAACAGGAUUAGAUACCCUGGUAGUC